GGGGAAUCGGGGUUAACUCCCAACCCAUGUGAACAUACCUACUGUUGCUUCGGCGGGAUUGCCCCGGGCGCCUCGUGUGCCCCGGAUCAGGCGCCCGCCUAGGAAACUUAACUCUUGUUUUAUUUUGGAAUCUUCUGAGUAGUUUUUACAAAUAAAUAAAAACUUUCAACAACGGAUCUCUUGGUUCUGGCAUCGAUGAAGAACGCAGCGAAAUGCGAUAAGUAAUGUGAAUUGCAGAAUUCAGUGAAUCAUCGAAUCUUUGAACGCACAUUGCGCCCGCCAGUAUUCUGGCGGGCAUGCCUGUCUGAGCGUCAUUUCAACCCUCAUGCCCCUAGGGCGUGGUGUUGGGGAUCGGCCAAAGCCCGCGAGGGACGGCCGGCCCCUAAAUCUAGUGGCGGACCCGUCGUGGCCUCCUCUGCGAAGUAGUGAUAUUCCGCAUCGGAGAGCGACGAGCCCCUGCCGUUAAACCCCCAACUUUCCAAGGUUGACCUCAGAUCAGGUAGGAAUACCCGCUGAACUUAAGCAUAUCAAAAGGGCCGGAGGAAUCGACGGGAGCGCAAACUCCUUUACGGGCCGGCCGUCUCUCGGCGGGCUUUGGGGCGAUCGCCCGCGCCUCGGCUGUCGGGAUAGGCGCCGCGAAGAGACUUUAAUCUU
rnacentral:rRNA from 1 species